AUUGAACGCUGGCGGCAGGCCUAACACAUGCAAGUCGAGCGGAUGAAGGGAGCUUGCUCCUGGAUUCAGCGGCGGACGGGUGAGUAAUGCCUAGGAAUCUGACUGGUAGUGGGGGAUAACGUCCGGAAACGGGCGCUAAUACCGCAUACGUCCUGAGGGAGAAAGUGGGGGAUCUUCGGACCUCACGCUAUCAGAUGAGCCUAGGUCGGAUUAGCUAGUUGGUGGGGUAAAGGCCUACCAAGGCGACGAUCCGUAACUGGUCUGAGAGGAUGAUCCGUCACACUGGAACUGAGACACGGUCCAGACUCCUACGGGAGGCAGCAGUGGGGAAUAUUGGACAAAGGGCGAAAGCCUGAUCCAGCCAUGCCGCGUGUGUGAAGAAGGUCUUCGGAUUGUAAAGCACUUUAAGUUGGGAGGAAGGGCAGUAAGUUAAUACCUUGCUGUUUUGACGUUACCAACAGAAUAAGCACCGGCUAACUUCGUG
rnacentral:rRNA from 1 species